rnacentral:rRNA from 1 species
AUUGAACGCUGGCGGCAGGCCUAACACAUGCAAGUCGAGCGAGAGGCGGACGGGUGAGUAAUGUUUGGGAAAAUGCCCGAUGGAGGGGGAUAACUAUCGGAAACGGUAGCUAAUACCGCAUACCCUCAGCUAUGCCCAGAUGGGAUUAGCUGGGAGGUGGGGUAACGGCUCACCUAGGCGACGAUCUCUAGCUGGUCUGAGAGGAUGAUCAGCCACACUGGAACUGAGACACGGUCCAGACUCCUACGGGAGGCAGCAGUGGGGAAUAUUGCACAAUGGGCGCAAGCCUGAUGCAGCCAUGCCGCGUGUGUGAAGAAGGCCUUCGGGUUGUAAAGCACUUGCAGCGGGGAGGCGUUACCCGCAGAAGAAGCACCGGCUAACUCCGUGCCAGCCGCCGCGGUAAUAC